CGGACGGGCGAGUAAUGCCUAGGAAUCUGCCUGGUAGUGGGGGACAACGUUUCGAAAGGAACGCUAAUACCGCAUACGUCCUACGGGAGAAAGCAGGGGACCUUCGGGCCUUGCGCUAUCAGAUGAGCCUAGGUCGGAUUAGCUAGUUGGUGAGGUAAUGGCUCACCAAGGCGACGAUCCGUAACUGGUCUGAGAGGAUGAUCAGUCACACUGGAACUGAGACACGGUCCAGACUCCUACGGGAGGCAGCAGCU
rnacentral:rRNA from 1 species